UACGAAGGGGGCUAGCGUUGUUCGGAUUUACUGGGCGUAAAGCGCACGUAGGCGGCUUGGCAAGUCGGAUGUGAAAUCCCUCGGCUCAACCAAGGAAGUGCAUCCGAAACUGCUGAGCUUGAGUACGAAGAGGAUCGCGGAAUUCCCGGUGUAGAGGUGAAAUUCGUAGAUAUCGGGAGGAACACCAGUGGCGAAGGCGGCGAUCUGGGUCGAUACUGACGCUGAGGUGCGAAAGCGUGGGAGCAACAGG
rnacentral:rRNA from 1 species